UCUUCUUCGUUAGUUGAUCCUCCAGAAAUUUCAGAAAAUCGCGAGCUACUGAACUCGGUGGAAUGAUCAAGUGACUUUGAGAAAGAGAUACUGCGAAAUGAAUCCUCGAGGGGCCUUGAGAGAAGCUCUGGUUGGCCAGGCACAGAACCACCAGCAUCAAGUGCUGAGGCGGGAAUUGAGUGCAUGACGCAGUGCAUUCUCCGCGGACCCCUUGUUCCAAGCACAUUCAGCUCGUAUGUGCUGGCCAGGCACAGAGCCACAAGCAUCAAGUGCUGAGGCGGGAAUUGAGUGCAUGAUACAGUGCAUUCUCCGCGGACCCCGUGUUCCAAGCACAUUCAGCUCGUAUGUGAUCUGGGAUAUGACAUAGCUUCCAGUUGG
rnacentral:lncRNA from 1 species